UACAGAGGUCCCAAGCGUUGUUCGGAUUCAUUGGGCGUAAAGGGUGCGUAGGCGGCGCGGUAAGUCGGGUGUGAAAUCUCGGGGCUUAACUCCGAAACUGCAUUCGAUACUGCCGUGCUUGAGGACUGGAGAGGAGACUGGAAUUUACGGUGUAGCGGUGAAAUGCGUAGAUAUCGUAAGGAAGACCAGUGGCGAAGGCGGGUCUCUGGACAGUUCCUGACGCUGAGGCGCGAA
rnacentral:rRNA from 1 species